rnacentral:rRNA from 1 species
GUGGGGAAUCUUAGACAAUGGGGGCAACCCUGAUCUAGCCAUGCCGCGUGAGUGAUGAAGGCCUUAGGGUCGUAAAGCUCUUUCGCUGGGGAAGAUAAUGACGGUACCCAGUAAAGAAACCCCGGCUAACUCCGUGCCAGCAGCCGCGGUAAUACGGAGGGGGUUAGCGUUGUUCGGAAUUACUGGGCGUAAAGCGCGCGUAGGCGGAUUGGAAAGUUGGGGGUGAAAUCCCGGGGCUCAACCCUGGAAUGGCCUUCAAAACUCCCAGUCUUGAGGUCGAGAGAGGUGAGUGGAACUCCGAGUGUAGAGGUGAAAUUCGUAGAUAUUCGGAAGAACACCAGUGGCGAAGGCGACUCACUGGCCCAAUACUGACGCUGAGGCGCGAAAGCGUGGGGAGCAAACAGGAUUAGAUACCCUGGUAGUCC